GAUUGGAUUCCAUGAUAAUUUGAUGGAUUUCGGUGAUUGAUUUGGGGUGGUAAUACUAUUAUACUAAUUUUUGCCAUGACCAAAUGAAUCUAAGUAAGUGAUGUUUAAGGUCACAUACUUAAGUAUGUAUGCCUGACAUGUAUGUAUGUAUUUAUGUAUGUUUGGCAGAAUAAACAGUCAACUAUAAAAACUAUAGUUGAGAAAUGGUUAGCAUCCCUGGGAGAAAAAGGUUUGUGCGACUCCACUGCCAAUGAAAAGCAUGCAGGAAAUACAGGUGUCUCGAAGAUGGUGCAAAGACUGUAAAAAUAUACGAAGGGGUCAAACAUUUUUAUUAAUGGAUGGAUUUCAGGAGUUGCCUCUGAUUAGGCGUAAUUAGACGCUCUCGCUGUAUAAACUUUUUCCCUAAACUGUGUACCCCUGAAGCAGCAGUCCCCAGAAUUUAAGAACACCAAAUAUUUUUUUUAAGACUGUCGCAGUUGACAUGAAUUUUAUUAGUCAUGACUUGAAACAGAUUUGUUACUGGAACAAAUUUUUUCCCCCUCACUAGCAAAAUCCAAGUUUCAAUCUUAUCUGUCCUAAGUUGUAAAGAACUAAAUAAGAAUAGAUAUGAUGGAGGUAAAGAAAAUGGGAGUAAAGUUUACAGAGAUGGAUGACUUCAUGGAGCCUAUUGCGCCUUUUUUGGGCCCACCCUAAAAUUCCUCAACUCCGCGGUUUUUUGGUCAUUGAAGGUCUAUAUUUUACGGAAUGCAUCAUGGUUUGGUCAUUUCCGGUCUAAAUCGGGGUCUACCAAUGGCCUAAACAUGGGUCUGAAGGCCAAUUUUGGCGAAAAAUGCGUGUUUUUCAGCAUUCGACGCGCUGUUUCGUAACGAUCCCUUCGGAGGACAAAAAAUUCCUUCAAGUAUGUUCAUUAGGGAUGUAAGAGAGUCACUUUGGCCAAUUUUCGUCGAUGUCAAACCUUGCGCUCAUAGUUAAAAAAAACUUUUUAGAAUUUUUCUUGUUUUUCAUCAUUAUUUAAAAUGGCUUAAAAAAGGCGACUCAUCUUACACCAGAAUUAAACUUUUUUGACAGAUAAUGGUCGUGGGCGGUCAAAACCUUCCUUUAACAACUUUUUCCGAUUUAAAGCCCCUCAAAGAAGCCGGUGUUGCCAUAUUUUAUUGCCUAAAAUCAUAGAAAACCGAGUACUUAUUUCAGUAUUUGGGGGCUAUUUCUCGUCGAGCUCA
rnacentral:lncRNA from 1 species